rnacentral:rRNA from 1 species
UACGUAGGGUGCGAGCGUUAAUCGGAUUUACUGGGCGUAAAGCGUGCGCAGGCGGCCCGUUAAGUCAGGUGUGAAAUCCCUGGGCUCAACCUAGGAAUUGCGCUUGUGACUGGCGGGCUCGAGUACGGUAGAGGGGGGUGGAAUUCCUGGUGUAGCAGUGAAAUGCGUAGAUAUCGGGAGGAAGGCCGGUGGCGAAGGCGGCCCCCUGGGCCUGUACUGACGCUCAUGCACGAAAGCGUGGGGAGCAAACAGG